UACAGAGGGUGCGAGCGUUAAUCGGAAUUACUGGGCGUAAAGCGCGCGUAGGCGGCUUUUCAAGUCGAUUGUGAAAUCCCCGGGCUUAACCUGGGAACUGCAGUCGAGACUGUCUAGCUAGAGUAUGGGGAGAGGGAAGUGGAAUUUCAGGUGUAGCGGUGAAAUGCGUAGAUAUCUGAAGGAACAUCAGUGGCGAAAGCGACUUCCUGGACCAAUACUGACGCUCAUGUGCGAAAGCGUGGGGAGCAAACAGG
rnacentral:rRNA from 1 species